rnacentral:rRNA from 1 species
CCUAUAAGACUGGGAUAACUUCGGGAAACCGGAGCUAAUGCCGGAUAACAUUUGGAACCGCAUGGUUCUAAAGUAAAAGAUGGUUUUGCUAUCACUUAUAGAUGGACCCGCGCCGUAUUAGCUAGUUGGUAAGGUAACGGCUUACCAAGGCAACGAUACGUAGCCGACCUGAGAGGGUGAUCGGCCACACUGGAACUGAGACACGGUCCAGACUCCUACGGGAGGCAGCAGUAGGGAAUCUUCCGCAAUGGACGAAAGUCUGACGGAGCAACGCCGCGUGAGUGAUGAAGGUUUUCGGAUCGUAAAACUCUGUUAUUAGGGAAGAACAAAUGUGUAAGUAACUGUGCACAUCUUGACGGUACCUAAUCAGAAAGCCACGGCUAACUACGUGCCAGCAGCCGCGGUAAUACGUAGGUGGCAAGCGUUAUCCGGAAUUAUUGGGCGUAAAGCGCGCGUAGGCGGUUCCUUAAGUCUGAUGUGAAAGCCCACGGCUCAACCGUGGAGGGUCAUUGGAAACUGGGAAACUUGAGUACAGAAGAGGAAAGUGGAAUUCCAUGUGUAGCGGUGAAAUGCGCAGAGAUAUGGAGGAACACCAGUGGCGAAGGCGACUUUCUGGUCUGUAACUGACGCUGAUGUGCGAAAGCGUGGGGAUCAAACAGGAUUAGAUACCCUGGUAGUCCACGCCGUAAACGAUGAGUGCUAAGUGUUAGGGGGUUUCCGCCCCUUAGUGCUGCAGCUAACGCAUUAAGCACUCCGCCUGGGGAGUACGACCGCAAGGUUGAAACUCAA